rnacentral:rRNA from 1 species
GACGAACCGUGCGAACGUUGUUCGGAAUCACUGGGCUUAAAGGGCGCGUAGGCGGGCUGUCAAGUCUGGGGUGAAAUGCCGCGGCUCAACCGUGGAACUGCCUUUGAUACUGGCGAUCUCGAGUCCGGGAGAGGUGAGCGGAACUGCGAGUGUAGAGGUGAAAUUCGUAGAUAUCGGGAGGAACACCAGUGGCGUAAGCGAUCACCUGGGCUAGACCUGACGCUGAGGGACGAAGGCGUGGGGAGCAAACGGG